UAAUUCUCAGAGAUAGUGAGUUGGAAUUUCUACAACCUACCAAAUUUAACUAUUUAAGCAUGAGGUCACAAUCAAGAAAUAUGAUGCUAGUCAACAAAAAAGAUUAAAUUCAAAAUUGUGAGACUAUAGUGCAAAAAAUAAUAAGUUGUAGAUGACAACUGUCAAAGCAACAUCUGAAUGACUGGAAAGAGAACUCGAUAUGUUGAAAUCAUGUGUGGACACCAAUAACUUGAAAGGUUAAAAUCAUGAAAUUGAACCAUACAUUCAGAAUCCGAGACAUAGUAAAUAAACUGCACUUGAUAGUACAGACCUCACAUUAAAAGAUGGGUGUUGAUCUGCAGAGUAUGUUUACAUUCAGUACAAAGGCUCGUUGCUUUGUUUUGUCUGCAACUCUGUUAGCAAGUGUAGACCCAAGACAAAGUGUUACAGAAAUAAUCUCUCGUGUUAUAUCAGUGCCAUCUCUAAUCAAAGCAAUCACACCUGCAAGAACUUUAGUAGUCAGCAUGUUUGCUUGUGGUCACACUAAAUAUACCGAAACAGUAGGCAUAAAAAUCUCCUUUGAAAGGAUAAUUUACUCACUUCGAUAGCUAUCAUCCUUAAUCACAAAUGAAGUCCAACUGCUGCUACCCGGAAGAUUGCUUUCCCAUACACAAAGUACGGAUGUGGACGAAGAAAGCUCCCGGUGCCAGAUCUUGAGGUCCCUUACGCCAGGAAAGAGAAGAGCAGGCAGUCGGCACAACGCCACCAUAUACUUUUUCUAUCUAAGAUCUCUGAAGCUACGGGGAGGAGUGGGAUAUAGGCCUGCAAAAGUUUCCUUGUGUCAGAUGGGAUCAAGAAGGGAGACGAUGGGGAGCACGGUUGGAGGAGAUGGCCACCAGGAUGGGCAUGCAGUCGGAGGAGAUAACCUGCACCGGCGUCGAUGAGGCGGAGCGAAGAACGGAGGCGAUGCCGGG
rnacentral:lncRNA from 1 species